GCCCCAGUGGCCUAAUGGAUAAGGCACUAGUCUCCUAAGCCAGGGAUUGUGGGUUCAAGUCUCAUCUGGGGUG
rnacentral:tRNA from 1 species